rnacentral:misc_RNA from 1 species
CAGUGCCAGCAAAUUGCGCAUG